UACGUAGGGUGCAAGCGUUUAAUCGGAAUUACUGGGCGUAAAGCGUGCGCAGGCGGUUUUGUAAGUUUGUCGUGAAAUCCCCGGGCUCAACCUGGGAAUGGCGAUGAAGACUGCAAGGCUAGAAUCUGGCAGAGGGGGUAGAAUUCCACGUGAUAGCAGUGAAAUGCGGUAGAUAUGCGGAGGAACACCGAUGGCGAACGGCAAUCCCUGGACCUGUACUGACGCUCA
rnacentral:rRNA from 1 species